rnacentral:rRNA from 1 species
AGCAGUGGGGAAUCUUGGACAAUGGGGGCAACCCUGAUCCAGCCAUGCCGCGUGAGUGAUGAAGGCCUUAGGGUCGUAAAGCUCUUUCGCCUGUGAUGAUAAUGACAGUAGCAGGUAAAGAAACCCCGGCUAACUCCGUGCCAGCAGCCGCGGUAAUACGGAGGGGGUUAGCGUUGUUCGGAAUUACUGGGCGUAAAGCGCGCGUAGGCGGAUUAGUCAGUUAGAGGUGAAAUUCCAGGGCUCAACCCUGGAACUGCCUUUAAUACUGCUAGUCUUGAGUUCGAGAGAGGUGAGUGGAAUUCCGAGUGUAGAGGUGAAAUUCGUAGAUAUUCGGAGGAACACCAGUGGCGAAGGCGAC